rnacentral:rRNA from 1 species
UAACGCGUGGGGCAACCUGCCCCAUAGAGGGGGACGAACAGCUGGAAACGGCUGCUAAUACCGCAUAACAAGGAGAGAGCGCAUGUUCUUUUCUUCAAAGAUUUAUCGCUAUGGGAUGGACCCGCGUCUGAUUAGCUGGUUGGUGAGGUAACGGCUCACCAAGGCGACGAUCAGUAGCCGGCUUGAGAGAGUGGACGGCCACAUUGGGACUGAGACACGGCCCAGACUCCUACGGGAGGCAGCAG